rnacentral:rRNA from 1 species
GAUGAACGCUGGCGGCGUGCCUAAUACAUGCAAGUCGAGCGAACGGACGAGAAGCUUGCUGCUUUGAUGUUAGCGGCGGGCGGGUGAGUAACACGUGGAUAACCUACCUAUAAGACUGGUAUAACUUCGGGAAACCGGAGCUAAUACCGGAUAAUAUUUUGAACCGCAGGGUUCAAAAGUGAAAGACGGUCUUGCUGUCACUUAUAGAUGGAUCUGCGCUGCAUUAGCUAGUUGUUAAGGUAACGGCUUACCAAGGCAACGAUGCAUAGACGACGGCAGAGGGUGAUAGGCCACCCGGGAGCGGGAACAGGGACAAGACGCCUACGAGAGGCAGCAGUCGGGAAUCUUACGCAAUGGGCGAAAGCAUGGCGGAGCAACGCCGCGUGAGAGAUGAAGGUCUUCGGAUCGUAAAACUCUGUUAUUAGGGAAGAACAGAUGUGUAAGUAACUGUGCACAUCUUGACGGUACCUAAUCAGAAAGCCACGGCUAACUACGUG